rnacentral:rRNA from 1 species
GACGAACGCUGGCGGCGUGCUUAACACAUGCAAGUCGAACGGGUCUGCCCUGUUUUUUGCGGGGUGGGUCAGUGGCGAACGGGUGAGUAACACGUGAGUAACCUGCCCCUCACUUCUGGGUAACCGCUUGAAAGGGUGGCUAAUACGGGGUGUUCUGGCUGUGCCGCAUGGUGUGGGUGGGCAUGAUUCAUUUUUGUGUUGUUUUGGCGGGGGAUGGGCUCGCGGCUUAUCAGCUUGUUGGUGGGGUGAUGGCCUGGCACGGCGUUGACGGGUAGCCGGGCUGAGAGGGUGAGCGGUCACGCUGGGGCUGCGCGACGGCCCAGACUACUGCGGGCGGCAGCAGGGGAGGGUAGUGCACAGGGGGCGGACGGCUGAUGCAGCGACGUCGCGUGGGAGAUGGAGUCCUUCGGGUUGUGAACCUCUUUCGCCGGUGAAGAAGGUCCUGCUAUUUGUGGUGGGGUUUGCGGUAGCCGGGUUAUGAAGCGCCGGCUAACUACGUG